GGUAACACGUGGGUGAUCUGCCUUGCACUUCGGGAUAAGCCUGGGAAACUGGGUCUAAUACCGGAUAGGACCAUGCUUUAGUGUGUGUGGUGGAAAGUUUUCGGUGCAAGAUGAGCCCGCGGCCUAUCAGCUUGUUGGUGGGGUAAUGGCCUACCAAGGCGACGACGGGUAGCCGGCCUGAGAGGGUGUACGGCCACAUUGGGACUGAGACACGGCCCAG
rnacentral:rRNA from 1 species